CCCUGCAGCCUGAGAAGGUACAGCCCUAAGCGCAGGCCUGCAUCUGGCCCCACUUUCUCUCCCCACUCCCAGCUCCAUCCUGCAUUAUGUGGGGCUUCAUGCACAUUCUUACUGACAUCUCAGCCCCUAAGUCCAAGCUCUGAUCAUAUCCAUGAAAACAUCUUCCCUGUGGCCAUCCCUCGGGUCUACCUGGGACAAGCCAGGAGAUCAGGGCACCUCUGUAUUCCCUGAUGGACAGACAGGCAGCCUCAGGUCCCUACCAGCUCACCAUUCCUGGGGAGGAGUGCCAGGUCCAACACUGCCAGUUACCAGGACACAUAGAAGAAUAGGAAUCUACCGGAUGCCUGGGAAGGAGUAGCCAGAGAAGAAAAGGAGAUGAGGACAGUGGGUGUCACAGAAGAUGAGGGCAUUGUUUUGUGGAUGGUGGGUCUCCACGGAGUCCUUUUCUGUCUGAGGGAAAGAGAAACAGUACAGAGGAGGUAUCCUUGUUGUCUUAAGAUGCUGGCCAGGAGAUACAUAUCACGUCUGCCAACUACGUCAGGUGACCACACCUACCUGCAAGGGAGUUUGCACAGUGUCCUGCAAAAUGUGUGGCUGGCCCUGAUUCCAGGGACCAAAGAACGACCGUUCACCUUCCAUAUUUCACAGAUGCGUCCACGUAGACAUUCACACAUAUGUGCACAAGUGUGCAUGUGUGUCUAUGUAUUUGUGACAGACAAGCUUUUAUGAUCGGCAUUAAUGGUGGCAACUGUCACAGAGAUUAUGGCUGCUUUAUUUCAAGGGAGUCUAAGAGGCAGAACGUAGUGUGAG